rnacentral:rRNA from 2 species
AAAUUGAAGAGUUUGAUCAUGGCUCAGAUUGAACGCUGGCGGCAGGCCUAACACAUGCAAGUCGAACGGUAACAGGAAGCAGCUUGCUGCUUCGCUGACGAGUGGCGGACGGGUGAGUAAUGUCUGGGAAACUGCCUGAUGGAGGGGGAUAACUACUGGAAACGGUAGCUAAUACCGCAUAAUGUCGCAAGACCAAAGAGGGGGACCUUCGGGCCU